rnacentral:rRNA from 1 species
UACGUAGGCAGCGAGCGUUGUUCGGAGUUACUGGGCGUAAAGAGUGCGUAGGCGGUUUUCUAAGUUUGGUGUGAAAUCUCCCGGCUUAACUGGGAGGGUGCGCCGAAAACUGGAAGGCUUGAGUAUGGGAGAGGUAAGCGGAAUUCCUGGUGUAGCGGUGAAGUGCGUAGAUAUCAGGAGGAACACCUGCGGUGUAGACGGCUUACUGGACCAUAACUGACGCUGAGGCACGAAAGCGUGGGUAGCAAACAGG